UACGUAGGUGGCGAGCGUUGUCCGGAUUUACUGGGCGUAAAGAGCGCGCAGGCGGCUGGUCAGGUCCGAUGUGAAAGCUCCCGGCUUAACUGGGAAAUUGCAUCGGAAACUGAUCGGCUGGAAGGUGGGAGAGGGUAGCGGAAUUCCCGGUGUAGUGGUGAAAUGCGUAGAUAUCGGGAGGAACACCAGUGGCGAAAGCGGCUACCUGGCCCAUUCUUGACGCUGAGGCGCGAAAGCUAGGGGAGCAAACGGG
rnacentral:rRNA from 1 species